AUCAAGAUCGAUGUUAGCCUAGCUGGAGAUCAAUCAGAUGUUUCAAUGGAAGGCAGACUGGCAUUUUGAAUAGAAAUCCAACGCUGGUAAAAGUGGCUUUAUUUUAGGAGAUCUUGUUGACAAGUCAACAAGAAAUCCUCGUCGACCUGUCCAAAACGUCAGGAAAUCGAGACAGAUCUCCUGCGUGAAUUGGAAUUUCCACUUCAACGUGGCUUUUUGUAUGCGAAAAAAUAGAAUCCAGUGUACGAAUGUGCCGAUCAAUUUUUCACUCCUCGCCUUGAUGUGAAUAGCAAAUGAUGGUUCUUGCCCCGCGUCGAGCCAACCAAGGAUAGGAUCCAGGAAUGGUCGCUUGGCGUUCGACAAGGGGACGUAACACGACCCCGUGAGUCCAAUAGUGGAUAGAAAUUGGCCCGAUUUGAGGACGAAGGUCUGACAUUGCUAAUGUCCCUACUCAACGAGUGAUCCCAAACUUUUUCAAAGCUCAUGAAUUUUAAAAUUUUAAAACCGAAAGAUCGGUCCUUAUGGGUCUCGAGGACGUCAAUUAGGACCCGUAAUUGCUAUUUGUACAACAUCAAGCGGGAUUGGGGCGGUAGUCUGGUUGGCACUACAAAAAGCGUGUGCUCUUUUGAGUUCUUCCAGGGCAGAUUUUGACAUCUUGGAUAAAUGGAGUCCAGGGGUCUCCUCUGUCUUCACAUUUCCAUUUUCCCCUCAGGGCUUCGAAACUCCAUAGAGACCUUAUUUUUGAACGCCGCUAAAUGUUCUGUCCAAGAAAUCUAUUCUUUGGCUUACUUUAACAAAAUCUGCCAAUCAAGGGUUUCCCGGCGGACAGCUCUAAGGGUAGGUUGAUAAAUUAUAAAUUGUUUCUGAACAAGUGAGAAAAAUGUUAAUUCCAGGUCCUUGCCAAUUAGCCUCCAUUACUUUUCUUGUUCUCCAUCUCUCUUCGCAUCGGAGGCCAAGCACAAUUUGGAGAGAAUCCAGGAUCUCAUUACUCUGACCAUUUGUUACGGGCUUCAAUCUCACAAAUGCCCAUUCACCUCCAAGGAUAAUGGUCUGCAACACCCAUUUUCAAGACGAGCAUCCUUCGGAGUCCAUCCCAAAGCUUGACAUGACUCUUCCGUCCGGAAUUCAGAUCCCAAAUUUUACGACCAACGUUGUUCGAUUGUUUCUUUUUUCGGUUGGGUGAAAAAAAGCGUUUUACGCGGCAAAUUUUCCCCUCAUUCAUUGUCUGGUAACGAGGUUUUGCGGUUCGUACAAUGGAUAUGUAUCGCAUUUCGGAUACGUUUGUUGUGUGCCUCCUUUUGCAUGAGGCGUGGAUUAAUGGGGGUAAUUUCGGAGGCUUACCAGGUUUCAUGUCAAUUUGGUGUGGAAUUCGCAGAGGACGUCAGGACAAGAUAUUGGGUGGCAUCAACGGACAUGCUACAAAUUGCCGUAAUUUACUUGAACUGAGCGGUUUUUUUCUUGUUCCUCCAACGUUCAACUAUAAAAAAGGAACCACCAACCAUUGCGUUAGCAACGUUGCCUUUAUCGUGUGUUCAAUUGCUCAUUUGACGAAAACUGGAACUUGUAUCUAUCUUGAUCUGGUUACAAACGGUAACCGAAGGAAGUUGUUCUUUACUCUAGCAAAAUUAGAAAUAUUUU